GCUAUCAAGAAUGAGAAUGAAGGCAAAGUGGUUAUAGGUUUAAGUAGAAGGUCAAAAUUGGGAAGAAUAUAAAGCAACAGGAUUGGAAUGCAAAGCGAGCAUUAUAUUCAAAUAAGCAGAUGUUUAUAAAAACCAAAAUUGUUUGCUUGUCCUUUCAACUUGACCGAAAGACUCAUUGGGUGAAUAUGACACAGCUGAGCGCGUUAAUGAGCAAGAUCGUCGCAUCCUUGUGCUGCUCUGCGUGGAAGGAAGUAGAAGAUCCAUGCGUUUCAGAGUAGUUGAGUGAGACCAGCAUGGAACUGAGCUUGGGCUGGACACUGUCAACUAGCUGCGAGUCCCUGCGGUGUGGCACACAGAGCAUGCAGUGGGAGACCACCCUCUCAAAUGCUGGCCUGGGAAUAAAUCAACAUCUACUUUCUCUGAAAAUAGUUGCUUUUGUCCCCUGACCCCAAUUUUUUUUUUCUCUGCUGAACCUUCAUAGUAUUUGUUUUGCCCUUUGCUUUGUGCAUUCUGUAUCUGCCCUGCUAAUGACUCCUGCAUUUGUUUCUUUGUUUUGGGCCUGCAACCAGUUUGUCCUCAACCCAGUUUUUGUACUACAACUUUCUGGAAAAGAAAAACAAAACAAUAAACAACUGCAUUUUAACCAAA